rnacentral:snRNA from 1 species
AUCACUUCUUGACCUUUUGGCUAAGAUCAAACAUGUGUCUAUUUUUAUCAGCUUAAUAUCUGAUACAUCCCCUAUCUGAGAACAAUAUUUUAAAUAGAUUUGGGAGCUUUCUCCACCUAUU